CUUCAUGCUCUUGGGCACAAGAAUGUAAAAGCAAAGGUCAGUGAAACAGUCCAACUUCUCUGUCUUCACCAUUACAACUCAAGCUGCCGAUUGCUUCUUAUUCAGAUGGAGAACCAACUCUUCACUCAUGAGCCUACUUGAGAAAUAAAAGAACCAUAGAAUUCAUAGGAAACCACAAAAUUCUCAGAAUAACUACAACAGUUCUGAGUGAAAAAUACAAGUUGGAGGCACUGUGGCAACUAAAUGAUCUGGCCAUUUGACACUGAAUAACAUAUUGAUGAGCUCUUCCCUAAGGUGAAUAUGAUCAAAAUACAUGUACGAAACUGUCAAAGAACUAAUUUUAAAAAGUAUUAAAAGGGUGAAACAUUGCAUUAAGGGAUAUGAUAAAGUAUGGAGUUUCAUGUCAUAGUCAUGAUAGCAUAAAUUAGCACAGUUUUUCUCUUAAACAGUUUGGUUAUACCUAAGAAGAUCUUAUCGGUGACUAAUUCCUCUUCCCAAUAAUCUUUUAUUAGAAACUGAUCCUAGAAAAAUCAUUCUGACAGCAAACAAACAAACGACUUUCAUUUUCCAGGCAAAAGGUGUGAUUAAGUAAACCCUGAUAAGAUUAAGUAGAUUGUUCCCAUUAAAUAAUAACUUUGGUAGAGUAAUUGAAGUCUUGGACAUAACAACAAUAUUACAUAAGGUUAAAAAAUGCAAGUCUGAAGUUGCUUGUCCAUCAGGAAGUGUGUCUGAGUGCUCACAGAAUUUUCUGAAGGUAGUAGAGGGAAGCAGAUGAGCUCACUCAAGAAUGAAAGAUCUCCCUUCCACUCAAGUUUUUCUGUGGUUAUUAAAUCUCAUCAGGAUUUGUUCUUUGUCAGUGCUAUGUAGUGUGUGGGUAACUUCAAAUACCAUAACAUGCCUUUUCAUUAUAUGACAAAUGCAGAUCUCGUUGGUUUUGGUUUAAUGUUUAUUUUGGUUUUGAGGUGAAGUCUUUCUACGUAACUGAGGUGGCCUUCCAUGUGCAACUCUCUUCAGUCCCUGAGUGUUGGGAUCAUGGGUUUGUGCCAUCACACCCACUCAAACUUUAUAGUUUGGUAAUAUAUUUAAAUUUUUUCCCGUUUUGUUUUCCUCUUUUUUCUAAGAGUUGUUCCCCUCAGUCUCUGAUGUCACAUAGAUCUUUUCCCUUUCAUCUAUGAGUCUUCUAUUUCCUUAGGAUCAAUUUAUGUGUACGAUUAUAACUUUCCAUGUGCAUAACCAGUAACCUCAGCAAUGUCUUGAAAAGUCUCUGCUGUUCUGCAAGAUGAGUUCAGGUUGUCUUCUCGUGUAGUCUUGCUGUUCUAUCGCUCUGGCCAAAUUGUCUACCCUUGGGCCAGUGUUGAAUUUUGCUGCUUUUUGCAGUGUUGUUGGUGUCCAUGUUAAACUACUAAGUGCAGCUCUGUUGUGAUUUUCCUCCACAUAUUUUCUUAUUUGUUGGCCC